UACGGAGGGGGCUAGCGUUGUUCGGAAUUACUGGGCGUAAAGCGCACGUAGGCGGCUUUGUAAGUUAGAGGUGAAAGCCCAGGGCUUAACCCUGGAAUUGCCUUUAAGACUGCAUCGCUAGAAUCGUGGAGAGGUGAGUGGAAUUCCGAGUGUAGAGGUGAAAUUCGUAGAUAUUCGCAAGAACACCAGUGGCGAAGGCGGCUCACUGGCCCGGUACUGACGCUGAGG
rnacentral:rRNA from 1 species